ACAAUAGAAAUUCAUCUUAAAAGAAAGAAGUGAUAAGUUUUUUAAAUAUAUUUCUACCGACGUAAUUCUUGCACCCCUCUGGUACAAGUGCUCACUCGAGAUAUCUCAAAAAUGGAUGUAUGCAACGAGUCCAAUAUCCAUAUCGGGGGAUUGGUUAAAUCAAAUCUUGAAAUAGGUUUUCCAAUCAGGCCGAAACCAACCGAAUCGUUCUGCUACAGCACAAACCUAAUAGAUACAAGACGGAUACCGAGAGUAAUAGAGCCUGUGAGGUAGCCAGGAGGUACCCAGAGAAGUACCGGUACCAGAACAGUACAGGCAAUGGCACAGAAGUUUUUUCUUGGAGGGAGGUUUAUAUUUGGUCCAGAUGUGAGAUCGGUGGCAUCGACUCUUUUCCUCAUUGUAGCUCCAGUGAUAAUUUUUUGUUUGUGUGUUGAAUAUCCUCGUGACAGGUCACCUCACCGUAGAUUAAUCAUCAUUCUUGUUGCCAUUGGCUUCACAGUUUAUGUUAGUACCCUUUCUUUAUCUUGGCAUACAUAUUUAUCAUAUUGGUACAAUCUUUUUUGAUUUGGGCUAAUAUGUUAAUACUUAGACAUAUAGUUUCAAGAGACUUUCUUUUGAGUCAUUACACCUUAUUGAAAUUUGCGGAAGGGUUGUAAACCUAGGCACCAUCAGCUAGUAUUUUAUGUUCAUGAGCUCCUACUCGCUUCACACAACAUAGUCCAUUUUGUUCAAGAACUAUUGAACUUGGUUUACGUUUUUCAAAAAUUUCAAAUUUGUGAAUUUAG